AAGGGAGACCUAAUUCAGGUAGGAGACGAAAAAAAAGUAGUCCCUACCAAGAAUCAAUCCCAAAAGGUCGGAGCGAGGCAAAAUUGGCUUUCAAACUAGGUUCUGGGUUCACACAAGACCUGAAUCAGGAACAAGGGCUAUUAGCUCAGGUGGUUAGAGCGCACCCCUGAUAAGGGUGAGGUCCCUGGUUCGAGUCCAGGAUGGCCCACCUGUACAGGUGGCAAAAAGAAAGAAAAGAAGCGAGGAAUCAGCACCUUAUCUUACUUAUAUAGUAAGAGAGAAUGCUGGCUCUGAGUAAAGAGUCCAGAGGAACCUUGAAAACUGCAUAGAGCUAGGUGAAAAAGCCAAAAAAGAAGACCGCAA
rnacentral:tRNA from 1 species